rnacentral:rRNA from 1 species
UACGGGGGGGGCAAGCGUUGUUCGGAAUUACCGGGCGUAAAGUGUGCGCAGGCGGCCGCGCAAGUCGAGUGUGAAAGCCCCGAGCUUAACUUGGGAACUGCGCUCGAAACUACGUGGCUGGAGUGUGGCAGAGGAAGGUGGAAUUCCAGGUGUAGCGGUGAAAUGCGUAGAGAUCUGGAGGAACACCGAUGGCGAAGGCAGCCUUCUGGGCCAACACUGACGCUCAUGCACGAAAGCGUGGGGAGCAAACAGA